AGUACAACCAGGAGGUUGUCGGGAAUACAUAACAAGUUUGGUAAACUAUUAUUAUUUGUGGUUGUUGUGAAGCUGUUGAGGUUAGGACUUGAAACUGAUCGGUAGAUGGUGAGAUGGGUAGUUACUUAUGGAGCUUGAGGAUUGUGGCUUUAGUUACCCAUAGUUGCAUUUAUUUAAGCAGACUUAUUAUUUAGCCAUUUGGCCAUUUUUAUGUCGGUUGACUUUUACGUUGAUUGUGGAUUUCAUUUGGGCUGUUGUGAUGAUAUUGUUGGUAACACCUUUUAAGACACUUAUUAUGUUUUUAUUGAUUCCGUUAUGGAUCAAAUGGGAUUUUUGAA